CUGGUGUUUGGGGAAUUAGGCAAUGAGCAGUAAGUCUGACAAAAGAAAGAAGCCACAAGAUCUUUUACAAAGGCUAAUUGUACUUCCCCAGCAUUACUAACUCUCAAAUGUGACAUCCUCCUCACACAAGAGUGGAAUUGUGCGGAGAUAUAUAUUGACUUAAAAUUGUUUGCAAAAAAAUAUAAUUUUCUGCAGCUAUACAGGGAGAUACUAGAAUGCUCUCCCAGGAGUCAUAAAUUGAGUCUGAGAAAGCCAAUUCUUUAUAUUGCUUACAUGAAAUAUGUAUUUGGUCAGUUAAAAUAAGGCAGAAUGGAGGAAACUCAUUGACUGACAGCAUUUAUCCAAAGAUGAAACAUCAAAAUAGUGACAAAUGGUGGUAAGCAUGAUUCUUCAGUUUUAGAUGCUCAUCAUUUUAACAACAUCCAGAUGAAGAAAUACAUAGGCUAUCAUCUCAAACAAAGAUGAUCAUGGAGUUUGGCAACCUGCACAAUGCAUACAGAAAUUUUCUUUUUCUCCAACCUAGAAUGUCUAAGCAUACAUGU